rnacentral:rRNA from 1 species
GUUAGGAAUAUUGGACAAUGGGCGCAAGCCUGAUCCAGCCAUGCCGCGUGAGUGAUGAAGGCCUUCGGGUUGUAAAGCUCUUUAGUCCACGAAUAUAAUGACUGUAGUGGAAGAAUAAGCCCCGGCUAACUUCGUGCCAGCAGCCGCGGUAAUACGAAGGGGGCGAGCGUUAUUCGGAAUCACUGGGCGUAAAGCGUGCGUAGGCUGUUUUGUAAGUCAGAAGUGAAAGCCCAGGGCUUAACCCUGGAAUUGCUUUUGAAACUACAAGACUCGAAUUCGGGGGAGGAUAGCGGAAUUGUCAGUGUAGCAGUGAAAUGCGUAGAUAUUGACAGGAACACCAGUGGCGCAAGCGGCUAUCUGGACCGAUAUUGACGCUGAGGCACGAAAGCGUGGGGAGCAAACAGGAUUAGAAACCCCUGUAGUCC